UGGAGAGAAAGAGAGAAGCAUUUUUUGGACAAGUGCAAGAAAUGCUCGAAGAACUACGCUGUCAAUUCCAACUGGAAAGCUCAUUCGAAAACCUACGGCACAAGAGAGUAUUGAUGCGACUGCGGCACCCUUUACUCAAGACGAAGAAGCUGAAGCCGAGAUCUGGAAAAACCGCAUGAAGGCGGAAAUCAGUGACUCCGCCGCUGGGUGAACGGACGGUAGCGGCGGCUGGACGCCGCUAAUUUGGGGACGAUUGACGAUUUGAGCGAGGGGAGGGGGGCAAAUCCUCUGCAAGCGCGACCUCGGCGGCCUGGGCUGCGGCGCCGGCGGCGCCGGUAACCGCUCGUGCGCUGGCGAGCCGGUGAGCUUCUGAACAAUGUCGUGGAAAUCGUUUUAGUUGAUGUUGUAGACCGGCGGCUGCUGCGAUUGGGUCAAAUUAGGGUCCAUAAUCGAAACUGCGGAGGAGGAAGGCGGCGGAGGGGAGGAGUUUCCGAAUAGAUUUUUGAUUUUAUUUUUGGAUGCACAGUCUCUCUUUCACACAAACACUUGGAUUCCUUUUUUU